AGUGAACGCUGGCGGCGUGCUUAACACAUGCAAGUCGAACGAGAACGGGUUAUAGCUUGCUGGGGUACUCGAGUGGCGAACGGGUGAGUAACACGUGGGUGAUCUGCCCUGCACUUUGGGAUAAGCUUGGGAAACUGGGUCUAAUACCGAAUAUGACCACUUCUUGGAUGUUGUGGUGGAAAGCUUUUGCGGUGUGGGAUGAGCCUGCGGCCUAUCAGCUUGUUGGUGGGGUAAUGGCCUACCAAGGCGGCGACGGGUAUCCGGCCUGAGAGGGUGUACGGACACAUUGGGACUGAGAUACGGCCCAGACUCCUACGGGAGGCAGCAGUGGGGAAUAUUGCACAAUGGGCGCAAGCCUGAUGCAGCGACGCCGCGUGGGGGAUGAAGGCCUUCGGGUUGUAAACUCCUUUCGCUAUCGACGAAGCCACUUGUGGUGACGGUAGGUAGAUAAGAAGCACCGGCUAACUACGUGCCAGCCGCCGCGGUAA
rnacentral:rRNA from 1 species